CUUGAGCGUGCAAGAUAAAGAAACGUGAGUCAGCAGAGUUGGGUGGGUUGCAAGUAAGAACUCUUCAUUUCAUGCCGUAUAAGGUCAAACAUUCUCUUUUAAUUUCCGGAAAUAAUUUAACAACUCUGUUUCAAUAUAACACCUGACCGACUUGGUUGGAUAUUAGUUGAUUCGCCUGAUGAUUUUGACGGAAGGAAUUUGACGUUUCUACAACGUAAAGUCUUAUCCUGCUGCCGACCAUUUUUGGUGGGGUUUAAAAUAUGAUGGAUCCAACGAGCAGAUUGUAACAAGUUGUUCUGCGGCUGAGCAACAUUGCCAAUAUCAUGACGGAAAAAAAUUACAAGAAACAAAUUUGAAGUAAAGUCUGUCAGAUUCCCUGAUGAUAAUAUAACCUACAUGAUCAAUGUAAGCAAUAUGAAGGGAUAUGAGAUCAAGAAUAUUUCAAUACAAAUUCUUGAUUAGUCCUGUUCGAAAAAGUAUUUGAGUUAAGCCUAGCAUUGAAAUUCGAAACGAAAAUAUAGUUUUGAAGAAGGGAUUUUCGGUGUUGAAAUGUACAUUAAACCAGAGACAUUAAACAAAAGAAGUAACCUUCAAAUGGUUCAUCUGUAUAUCUGAUACUUGCUACGACGACAAGCAUUGGAAAUACAUUUCAUACAGCUAUUCUUUAAAAGUACAGAAUGAGGGCAGGUACCGCUGCAGUGCAUGCAAUACAGGUGGAACAGCUAUAUCGCCAACAAUAAACGUCGUCAGGGAUAUUUCAACAAAAACUAAUGUUGUCAAAAACAACAAUCACACAGGCAAGUCUUCUUUAUCAUUGUCGCAGAAUUUGAGGUCGUCCAACAAUAUAAUCUGCACUAUGACUUUUUUUAAUGACUGUGUUUUACUGACAAAGAAUAAGCAAAUCGCAACAUUUUGUUCGACCAUAUUAAAAAAUCUACAAUCUAAGCUUUUCAUCAGUCACAACUGAUCACCAAUACCUAAUUGCACUCCAACCUACAUUCUAUAACCAUAUUUAUAAUUAUUUGUGUAUAAAAUUAAAUAUCAUCUUACAUCAAUCAUUGGAAAA